UUUUAAACUUUUCUUUCUUUUAAAGCAAAGUUGGAGACCAUUAAAAAUGUUUGAAUAUAGAUGGAUGUUAAACAAGGAAUAAAAAAUAAGAGAAGAUGAAUGUGAUGGCUUUAACACGGACACAGGCUUCUCAGGACAGGAGGGUGUCAUCAUUUCAGCAUUUUGAGGAAUCAUAUACUGUUUUUUUUGCAAUGGUUGUCUGUAUGUCUAUUGCCCCCCAAAGUCUGCAGUGACUAUUGGCCACAUCCUUGGCAGAAUAUGUUCUCCCUCGUGUUUUGGUAACAACCAUAAUUAUUACUUUGGUUUUUUUUUGCUACAGUGUGAUAUCUCAGUGUGAUUUUGUUUCCAUUUCCUUGAUGAUUUGUGCUGCUGAUGAGUUUAAUUUAUUUGUUAAUCACUCGUUUUUCUUCUCAUAAAUGUUAAUUUUUCCCAUCAGCACCCUUUAAUAAAAUGGUUAUUGUCAUUAUUGGCUGUUAGCCUUGUUGAGAUUAUUAGAAACCCAAAUAUAACCUCAUAAAUACUAUACUCUUUCUUAUAUUUAUGUAAACAUUCUGAAGCUUAUGUAUUCAUUCAGGAAACUGUAUUCUGUAUACAACUCUUGCCUCAUGUAAUAUCACUUAUCUUGUAUAUGUAUGUCAUUGCUAGGGUCUUGGGAUAAAAUACAUAUCAUGUAGCCAAUUCCAUUGUCUUUAGGCAUCUCUCCUAAUAGUUUUAUGAAUUUCUUGUUUGUGGAUUAACUUUUAAUCACUAUAGCAAUCUUGCCUAGAAACAUCAACUCAAAGGAUGAAAUGUUUAUUCAGGCAUUUGUACACAUGUGUUUCAGACUUGGGAUUGCUGGCUUCAUCAGCAUCUGGCCUAAGACAAGACAUAAACAUUGUGGUGGACAGGCACAGAUGAGAAUGCAGACUUAAUGUAUGCUCGACAGAAAGCAGAGCAGGAAGGUGAGGAUUCAGAGAAUAAGUGGGUGUGUCAAUGAAACUGGGUACCUCAGAAGCCGAAUGCCUUACAGAAAUUCAUCAGAGCUGAUAUAUAAGAUAUUUUGCAACUCCUUUAUCAGUAGCUGAAGUAUGUCAUAGUAACAGUAUCUUAUUGGAUGAAAUGCAAAGUUAUCUAGGGUUGUGGUAGCUGGCUAGCAGGUACAAUUCAGUGCCAGAGGUAACCUCUUUGUACUUUGGGUGACUCUAAUCUUAUAAGAACUACUAGGGCCAGCUCUUAUAGUUGCAUUAUUUGGGAGUGCUAGGUCAUCUCCAGCAGAAAGUCCAUGGAAAAUGCCAUGUGUACACAUGGUUAAGUGGACAUUUUGCUAAAUAAAGAGGCAUUAUAAGAAAAGCUUUAAAGUGGUCUUCAAAUAUCCUCCUCAUACAUUGCAAGGUCUGUAUGUGUACUUUAUGCUGUUUUAGUGGGCAGAUGGAUACAUUUUGCCUGGACAGAUGUUUCAAUUAAAAAAUGGAGAGGGUCUGCAGAAUCCAGGACACUAAAAAGGGAACAGGCAGGGAAGAAAGAGCCUAAAGGGGUGGGGCAUAGAAUAGUAGAAAAGAUUCUGGAGGGGGAAAGGGGAAUAAUGGAAAAGGGGUAAGUGUGGAAGUGGGUGUUAAAUGUGGAUUUGAAUGUUCGUGUACAGUACAGUAGGGGUAAGAGGAAAAAUAAUGAAUACCAAAUAUAUAGACAAAACCAUAUGGAAAUCUAGUAAUUUAUAUGCUUCUUAGAAAUACAAUUUAAAACAAAACUUAAUUGGAGUUAUGGACACUGGGAAUAGUGUAAGGUUCUUCCUAGAAGCCAUGGCUUAUUCAACAAAAUUCCAGUGCCAGGGGUGGAAUACUGGCCUUCAAGUUGUUUGUCAGGGAGUCCCAGAUUCCCACCGGACAAUACAGGCUACUGCCAUUGCUGUUUGUUACCCAUAGAACUUGAUGGUGUGAUUCUAUCAAUAAGAGCACCACACAAUUUCUCAAUGUGGAAAUACUAUUUGCCUUGGGUGAAAGAUGGAAAGACUGUGUGAGCAUUUAAUGGAGCCAAACACUCUGCCUUCAGUCUUCCAUCUGCCUGAGGACAUCUUUAAGAUGCCUGUGAGAAGAAUAUGGCUGAUGUUUUGGUGAAUAGGACAAGAUGAGGAUAUUUACAAGAUAUGUCUGUAGCCUAGUGCCCAUUCUCUGGAAGCAACCACCCUAAUGCCUGGACUCUUGAGCAUGCUCAAUGCAGCCUGGAUCGUCCAAACAUUGGAAGUCCAGGACAUCAUUCUACUUCUGCUGAAGACAUCGGGCUGCUCUAAUAUUUGCAGGAUUGGCAACUGUUCAGUAGACUCAUCAUGGAGAUGCAGUGGAUGGAUUGUGGAGUGUCUGCCCAGAAAAUGAGCUGGCAGGAUCUUUUCUUGAGAACAUGUACUGUACUUAAAACAAUGGUAGCUGGCAGUUGCUGUCACCCUUCACUUGGUUGUCCAGUUGAUUACUCCCUAGACUCAGUCGAGCAGAUUAGAUUAUCACCUGCUGGAAUUCACAACUGAGAACAGGAACUGUUGGUCUGAAAGUCAAUAAGAGUGAUGGAAUCUACAAUACGUAAGCUCAAGAGCUGAAUAUGACUAAGGAGAGGAGAAAGAUACUCUAAGCGCAAAAGCUACAAUGUAGGACCAAGUGAAAAUGUUUACUGAUAGCGUCAUAGCUCCUAAUUCUAGCUCUUUCUUGAAUCCAGAAGAGUGUCUGCCUUUAGAGUCCAUAACUCUAUAGACAGAACUCUUCUACAACUGAGCAUACCUCCUUUAUUCCUUAAAGCACUCAAAGGUGUUUGUCUUAUUUAAAAUAAAAGAAUUAUUCAUGUAAUAAGGGGGAAAAAGAUAUUUUGCAAGAUUGUUUCAGAUCAAACUGUAAGAUUUAUUUUGUAACCAGUGGAGGCACAUCAUUGAAUUAAUUUCCAAUUACAUAUAUGAUAUUUCCUGUAUGAUUUUGUGAUAAUACUGGCUAUUCUUUUCUUGAUGCCCUCAUGGUUGUUUGAUUAGUUGGUUGGUUGGUUGGUUGGUUGGAUGGUUGGCUCUUCUGCUCUUCAAGAUAAUAUUGCCAUCAUUGCAUGCUGCUCAGGCUUGGCAUUGAUUAUUUUCCCAUCUUGGACUCUUGAGUACUGGCAGAAUUGAUAUUCCACCAUGGAUUUCUUAAUAUCUUUGUUGAAAAAUCAGGUAAUUACAGAUGUAUGAAGAUGACUAAGUUAUUCUGUUCUAUUCCAUGGAGGUGUGUUUCUAUUUUUAGAGCAAUACCCUGGUGUUUUGAUGGCUGCAGCAUUGCAGUACAUCUCAAAGUCAGAUACCAUAAGGAAAUCUUUGCUUCUUUUUGCAUUAGUACAAGACCAUUUUGGAUACAGUGGUCUUUUGUGGUUCUCUGGAGAUUAUAGCAGUGGUUGUCCAUUCUGUAAAGAAUGCCAUUGGUAUUAUGAUGUGUUCUGUAUUGUAUUUGCUAAUCUCCAUGAGUAGUAGGAAGACUGUGAUGAUUUAUUUCUAAAAGUCUGACACGCAGUGUUUUUCAAUUUGCCUGAAUGGAGAGCAAAAUUACAUGAUAAUUCUAGCAACAUGAAAAUGCCAUUUGUUAGAAUUUAUCAACCUUUCAUCUUGAAACGGCUCAACAGAUAAGAUAUACAGAGAAACAUUAGUUAAAUGUAAUCAAUAUACAAAAGCCAGCAACUAAUAUGAUAGCAAGUUUUAUUACAGAAGUUUUCCUCUAAAAUAUUUAGGAAAAUCAGGAUUCAGCAAAACUUUAAUUAGAACAUC
rnacentral:lncRNA from 1 species